AUACAUUUUAAAAUUAAAAUUGUAUUAUUUAAAUGCCUACAUUUGAUGAAUAUAUCAAUGCCAUGGGAAAUAAAUUGUAAUACUAAUGUAAUAUAAUUGAAUAAACCAAAUGUUGCAUUAAAGGGUAGUGUUUUAAGGUAUGUACAUACAGAACAACAAAAUGUUGGCAACAGUUGACAAUAUGUUGCUGAACGUUAGUAACAAAUUUGUCUGAUGCAUAUACUUGUAUCUAGAUACAUGUUGUCAACAGUGUAAAUUAUCCAAACCAAAAUAAUAGUUGCGUCUACAGUCCAUAAAAGUUAUUUCAAAAGUUUAGAUAAAUAGUUAAAUGGAUCUGGCAACUACUGCUGCUGGAGCUAGAGCUGCGUUCAUUAUCAUAAAUAUCUAUCAAAAAAAAUAAGAUGAUGACAGAAAUUGUUUUUAAAUAAUGGGAUAAGCUAUGGUGACAGCUUAAUAUCCAAAUUACUUUUGAACAAUGGCAAUUCAUUCUGACAUUUUGUGAGACUAAUCAAAUUUAAUUUUGAAGAAUUUCUUUGAUUGGUAGCUCCUUAAAUCAAACUUCAGGUUCCUAUCUUAACAUUAUAUUAUUUGUAAGCCCCACAAGACAGGAGCAUUUCUAUUAGUUCAAUUAUAAGCUCUUUUGACAACAGCAUGAUGCGAAAAUUUUAAAACUAAGUAACAGAUACACUUAAAUUGUGUAUAUAAUAUGCAUACAGGUUGAUAUUAAUUAAUAAUUAUUGACAAAUUAUCCGUAUUGAGCAAUAUUUUCCAUUUAGAAUGUGCAGAUACAAGCAACACUCAACAAAAUUUCUUUCAUGUCAUGCCGCCCGAUGAUGACAAGUAUUUAUUAACUUGUUAUCAUUUGAUGGGAUAAAUAUUGGAAACACCAUUAGUAAACAAAUGUAAACAAAUUGCCAAUAAAAUGUUGCUUGUUAUGUACCUACCUGCUAUACAUAUAAAACAAAGAAAAAAUGGGAGGAAAAGUACAAUACAUGUUUUUGUUAGAUAAAUUAAAAAUAUUGAUUAAU